UCAGACGAUGCGUCAUGCAUAUCAAUAAGCGGAGGAAAAGAAACUAACAAGGAUUCCCCUAGUAACGGCGAGUGAAGCGGGAAGAGCUCAAAUUUGAAAUCUUAAAGGGUUUCCCUUUACGAAUUGUAGUUUAAAGAAGUGUUUUCUGUUGAGGUUUUGGUAAAAGUUCUUUGGAAUAGGACAUCAUAGAGGGUGAGAAUCCCGUAUUUGACCUUUACUUUCAACUUUGUGAUACACUUUCAAAGAGUCGGAUUGUUUGGGAAUGCAGUCCAAAAUGGGUGGUAAAUUUCAUCUAAAGCUAAAUAUUGGCGAGAGACCGAUAGCGAACAAGUACCGUGAGGGAAAGAUGAAAAGAACUUUGAAAAGAGAGUUAAACAGUACGUGAAAUUGUCAAAAGGGAAGCGUUUGACACCAGUGUUGUUUUUCUGAAAAUCAAUUAAAGAACUGUUUAUGCUAAGUUGUUUAGACUUUAUCAGCUAACUGUUUAGUUUUGAGCUUUUCUUUAAUGCACCUUUCAGUUAACAAGUCAACAUCAAUUUCUUUUGCUGUAAAAAAGCCUGAGGAAGGUGGCUUGAGAUUCGUCUUAAGUGUUUAUAGCCUCUUGCCUAUGCAGUCGGAGAGAUUGAGGUCUAGCAGCGUAGAUCCUUCGGGGCUAAAUGCAUUUGUGCUAAGUUAUAGCAUUUUAUAGACAACUUGUUGACUAUGAUUUGUCUUGUAGCUUACUCGCUUAUGUUAUUUUACCUACGCUUAGGAUGUUGAGCGCAUGUCUCUCUCU
rnacentral:rRNA from 1 species